rnacentral:rRNA from 1 species
GAAUUAAUGUAAACUGCAUACUGCUUUGAACAUCGACAUCUUGAACGCAUAUUGCGGCCAUGGGUUAGCCUGUGGCCACGCCUGUCCGAGGGUCGGCUUAUAAACUAUCACGACGCCCAAAAAGUCGUGGCUUGGGUUUUGCCAGCUGGCAUGAUUUCCUCCGUGAGAGAUCACGCGAGGCGUCAGAUCUAUGGCGUUUCCCUAAUGUAUCCGGACGCAUCCUUUUGUUGGCUGCGAGCCAUGGUAGGAUGAGGUGACGGAAUCGUGGCUUAGUUUAGCUAUGCCCCGUUUUCAGCAUGUUUGGCGCUAAUUCAGUCGGCGUGCUCAUGACUACGGGUGGAGCUAAUAUUGGGUUGGUGCUCCGUUUUCAGUGUACUUGGCGUCAGUCGGUAUGCGCAUGAUCUCGGAGGUAAUUCCAUACCAGGCGCGUUUCGUUACUGCCAUUCUGCUUUGGUUUAACGUCACGGGGGGCAAUGCAUCUGAUGCUUUGCAUCUCACUUGGUGAGGCGCACAUAGAGACGUAACUAUGGCUUGUGGAUGAGCGGUGGAUUAUUGUUGGGUUGGUGCUCAGUUGUCCUCAUGACUUCGGGGGUAAUUCCAUACCGGGCCCGCUGUACCACAUACCCACAGCAAUGCGCUUCUGUGUUGUGUACUUGUCAGGCGUUAUGCAGUACUUUGUGAGACGUAUGCACCGUGGUGUACCUAUGGCUUGUGGUUUGAACGGUGGAUUAUUUAUUGGGUUGGUACUCAGUUGUCCAUGCGACUUCGGGGGUAAUUCCAUACCGGGCCCGUUCUGCCACAUACCCACAGCAAUGCGCCGGUGUAAUUGUCUUUACCUGACCUCGGAUCAGACGUGAUUACCCGCUGAACUUAAGCAUAUCACUAAGCGGAGGAGAAGAAACUAACCAGGAUUCCCUUAGUAACGGCGAGUGAAGAGGGAAAAGCCCAGCACCGAAGCCUGUGGUCAUUUGACCCCUAGGCAAUGUGGUGUUCAGGUCAGCCCGCGGAGAUACUGCUCCACCCUAAGUCCUAUAAUGAGUAAGGUUACUCGGACGUGGCCCAAUGAGGGUGAAAGGCCCGUGGGGGUGGAGACUCAGAU